rnacentral:rRNA from 1 species
GACGAACGCUGGCGGCGUGCUUAACACAUGCAAGUCGAGCGGUAAGGCCCUUCGGGUACGACGAGCGGCGAACGGGUGAGUAACACGUGGGUGACCUGCCUCUAGCUCUGGGAUAAGCCUGGGAAACGUGGGUCUAAUACCGGAUAUGACUCCACGGCGCAUGUUGUGGGUGGAAAGCCUUGUGUGGCUAGAGAUGGGCCCGCGGCCUAUCAGCUUGUUGGUGGGUGAUGGCCUACCAAGGCGACGACGGUAGCCGGCCUGAGAGGCGACCGGCCACACUGGGACUGAGACACGGCCCAGACUCCUACGGGAGGCGAGCAGUGGGGAAUCUUGCGCAAUGGGCGAAAGCCUGACGCAGCGACGCCCG